UCAGUGCCUUGAGGCAUUUGAUUUAUUUUCACACAGUAUUCCGCACUGAUAUCAUUCAAGAACCAACGAUUGGAAAUCUUUUCUAUGAUUUUAAAUUAUUUUAUAUCUGUCGUAUAUUGAUUGAUGAUUUAAUCCAUGGACCAAACGAAACAGCGCUCGUGUCCGCGUAAACGCGUGUAUUUUGAAACUGAACUGAAUUGACGAGCUUUUCUCCCCAGCUCUUAGAGGAAUUGCUUACUUGCUUCGGUUUCGUAGUGUGCUCGUCACAUUCCACCCUACUAUCCUUAGCAAUGAAAAUAUUUAUUUCUGCUUUAAAUAUAAUGAACACUUUGCAUUAUAAUCGGAUUAAAAAUAGCUAAUGUCUUUUGCUUGUUUUUCGUCAUUCGUAAACUUAUUCUGCAUUGCUUUGACAGAGGCCCAGAUGCCCAAUACAACAGAGUGGACGACCAGAGUAGAGUGGAUGAAAGGUCGAAUUGAAGUGCUGCCAGCUUGAUAUCAUCAAAAAAUCAAAUAUUAACUAGUCGGAACGUAUGGCCAUAUUAAUACUCAUCAAUCUACUCGGUUUUUACAAAUCGAAGCACUUAAAAAGCGCGUCCAUUCCGGCUAUAAUAAUACUUAUUCCGAUCGCAAAGUGGUUCUGCAAUCUAGCAGAUAUAAUCUUUCUUCAUGAGUCUCCGGAUUUCCCCUUUCUGUCUAUAAACGUCACACGAUGAUGGCGAAGUCACAAGAUCGACUUCCUUUCGAGAUCCAAGGGCUCGAGCUCGGGCGACGAGUAGGUGGGUAGGUGGCAACUGAUGGAGCUCUGAUCUGAGCUCUGUGGCGUGCAGAGUUUAUUCACGAAUCUUGUACUUUCAGUUGCACCAGUAACUUCUGCUGUCCAACGACUGUGACGACGACGACGACGUCUCCGUUGCCUGGGAAACUUCUACUGAUAUCGCGCUACCGUCUACCGGCUACCGGCCACCAUUGCCGCUCUCUGGUGUUAUCUGUAGAAAUCACUUUUUACUCUUGUCUACCCUUUGGGCCGAAUCCGACUGGCGAUAAGGGAGUGUUUAAGAGGUUUUUUGUAUAGCCAAUACCCAUGUGUACAUUUCAAGUGGCGCACUUAACUGUGUGAAGGCUUAAUUAACAGCAGCAAUAACGACCAUAACAAUGGCACAUCGGAAUACCUCACAGGUCUCACAGGUUAAUUAUAUUCUUAUCAAAAUAUAUUUGGGAUAUCACUUGCAAUGCCACUGAGAAACCGAUCUGGAAUGAGGAGGAAAUGUACAAGUAAUAUGAAAACAUGGUUUAUGUUUGUUCUGAUUUUCCCCACAAUAAAGCAAGUAGCUUCCGACUGAACGAUUAGACGCCACUACGAGUAUAUACACGUGAUAAGGCUGUAAUCAUUGGAUCGAGGCUGACUAAGACACAGUGCAGUACAGGAGGAGCGGAACAGGAGGCGGAAUAAUUUAUGAUUUUAUUAUUAUUUAUAAAUUGCCAGCCAGCCAGUUUCAUUGAGCAACUUUUGGCUGAACUUUAAAGAUUUAUUACAAUUUGUUAAUCUCUUGUCAGUAUUAUGAUGGGGAUUGUGAAAAUUUACGGGUUGCGAAUUCCAAAUUCCGCUCAUAAUUCUUAACGGUAUACUUUUUGGAUUUAUUUAAAUAUUUUCUGUUUAUUUUUAUUGAUCUGCUAAAAAUCGAUAAUGCUAAUGACCAUUUUAAACGAAUAUCAAAUUAUUUGAUGGCUGUGUUGUGUUUUCAUUGGCUACUGGCCAUAGACGUUACUGGAUAUCUAUAAGUAGUGGGAUCUAUAGAUCUUUCCUGAUAAAUAUAAACCCUUAUUAAUGUA
rnacentral:sRNA from 1 species